rnacentral:rRNA from 1 species
AUUGAACGCUGGCGGCAGGCCUAACACAUGCAAGUCGAGCGGAUGAAGGGAGCUUGCUCCUGGAUUCAGCGGCGGACGGGUGAGUAAUGCCUAGGAAUCUGCCUGGUAGUGGGGGAUAACGUCCGGAAACGGGCGCUAAUACCGCAUACGUCCUGAGGGAGAAAGUGGGGGAUCUUCGGACCUCACGCUAUCAGAUGAGCCUAGGUCGGACUAGCUAGUUGGUGGGGUAAAGGCCUACCAAGGCGACGAUCCGUAACUGGUCUGAGAGGAUGAUCAGUCACACUGGAACUGAGACACGGUCCAGACUCCUACGGGAGGCAGCAGUGGGGAAUAUUGGACAAAGGGCGAAAGCCUGAUCCAGCCAUGCCGCGUGUGUGAAGAAGGUCUUCGGAUUGUAAAGCACUUUAAGUUGGGAGGAAGGGCAGUAAGUUAAUACCUUGCUGUUUUGACGUUACCAACAGAAUAGGCACCGGCUAACUUCGUG